rnacentral:lncRNA from 1 species
GAUACUGAGGGAAAGUUACUCCAACAAAGCCUAUAGUUCAGGCUGCCAGAACUCCUGUCCCAGGACUGUCAGCACAUCCUGUCCCUUUCCAACCUAGCCUCUGGACUCUGGACUUCCCAGAAUGUGACAAAUGUGACAUUUAGCAUCUUGUUCCAUAGAGUCUCAAACUUUCUACCUGGAAUCACCUGUUUCCCUAGGCACGCUAGGACUAUGAAGUUUCUUGUGCAAGAACAACCAGGGUACCUAGGGAAUUCAUGUAGGCUGUCUCCAUGGAGAGCAUUUCUGGGUGUCAGGCAGGUACGAAUGGUCCUGUUGUCACAUACGACAUAUUUGGAAGCCAGCAGAGAACAAAAUGAGAAAGAAACAGAUUGGAGAAAAGAGUUAUUGGAUGGCGACUAUGUGAUGACUCAUUGGAAAGAAGACUCAAUCCCAAGUCUUGCCUCUUCUUCCAAAUGAUAGUGUGACCUUGAGACUCAAGAAGUUUAUCUGAAGAGAUGGAGUGCUGAACUAGAACAGGAAUCUGAAGCAUCUUUACACACGACAUUGAAAAAAUAUCCAAAGGGCUUAUCAAAAAAAAAAAAAAAAAGAGCCUUGCACUAAAUUGCCAGUGUAUGGCAUCGGCAGGAAGAUAGGAAUGUUAAUCAUUUACCAUUUCUAGACUCCUGUGUUAGAACAUCUCUUGACCCAAUGAGUGGAUUAUCAUCCUGCCAUCCAUCACAACCUUGGCCCCAGCAAAAUAAUCUGUAGUCACACUUACUCCUCACUAAGUCAGAACUCCAUUUUCUUUAACUAUGGAAAUGGGAUCUGCCAUCACUACUUCUACUUCUGUGGUUUUCUUUUCAAACACAUGGCUGUUUAUCUCUGUUUAUCUUUCUAAUUGGGUUUCACAUGAGCCAUAGCAUGUAGGGGUAUAAAUCAUUGGUUGUAAAAACUACCUUCAAUUAUUUGGAUACUCAGUAUUUAAUGACUACAUCAGAAUUGAACUGUCCACAACAUUUUAAACUGGGACAUGACUCACUUCCUUAUUUAAUUAUUAAUUAAUCCCUUGAGAAUUUCAUACAUGCAUACAAUGUACUUUGAGCAUAUUCACUGCUGUUCCAUCCCUUAACUCCUCUCAGAUCAACAAAUCCCCUCCCAACUUUAUGUCUUUUUUUUUUUUGUAACCAACCAAGUCCAGUUUGUACUGCCCAUGCACAUAUGGAUGAACGGUCAUCCGUUGGAACACAGCUGACCAAUUAGGGGCCAUACCUUUAAAUAAUACUCUCUUUUCCCCAGCAGUCAUCAACUGUCAGAGGUACCUCAACUAGGAGUGAGGACACUGGAUCCCCUCCCCUCUCCAUGCUGGAAUAUUGACUGGCUUGUCUCAUGCAGUUCUUACACAGACAACCACAGCUGCUCACAUUCAUGUAUGCAGUAGUCCUAUCCUGUCCAGCAGACACACAGUCUGGUGUCCCUCAACCUCUGCCUCUGACAAUCUUUCUACUCCCUUGGACUCACUUUCAAGCCAUGUAUGUUGAUUGUCUUGCUGGACUCCAGUACAUACUUAUAACACUUCUGACCCCAGUACAUACUUAUAACAUCUCUAACCCCAGUACAUACCUAUAACAUCUCUGACCCCAGUACAUGCUUAUAACAUCUCUGACCCCCCAAAACUCAUCCUUCAGUCAGUAGCUAUUGGUGUCCAGGAUCCAUCACAAAAAAAAUGUCCAACAAGCAGCUACAAACUCAGUAUCUCAACAUUUACAGUUGCAAGGACUCUGCUUUUCUAAUUGGUUUCCAUAAGUACAGUGCUGUGCACCCUAGCCCUGACCUUAACAAGUGACAUUUCUACCUGCUGGCCUUGUGACUCCAUUAAUACCAUCUGCCCAUGAUACUGUUCAGAGGCUCAAAUAAAAUAUAAC